ACAGCCACAUCACUUUGAAACACCGCUUCCCGUACGAUCACUGAAGUUAAGCAACGUCGAACCUGGUCAGUACCUUGAUGGGUAACCACUU